CAGCAGUCGCCGCGGGAAAACAGAGGGUGCAAGCGUUAAUCGGAAUUACUGGGCGUAAAGCGCGCGUAGGUGGUUUGUUAAGUUGGAUGUGAAAUCCCCGGGCUCAACCUGGGAACUGCAUCCAAAACUGGCAAGCUAGAGUAUGGUAGAGGGUGGUGGAAUUUCCUGUGUAGCGGUGAAAUGCGUAGAUAUAGGAAGGAACACCAGUGGCGAAGGCGACCACCUGGACUGAUACUGACACUGAGGUGCGAAAGCGUGGGGAGCAAACAGGAUUAGAUACCCGGGUAGUCCCUGUCUCUUAUAC
rnacentral:rRNA from 1 species